rnacentral:rRNA from 1 species
AUGAAUAUGGUGAAGAAAUCUCAUCAUAUAAUCUCCUCUCCAAUUCACACUCAUAUAAGCAAACAAGCGGAGUGGGAGGAUGAUGAGGCGUACAUGGAGGCGGGGUCGGUCCGCCGUUGUGGCGGUCCAGGAGCACCACGGGGUCGCGGGCGACCCGUGUGCCGCAGGCAGCUGUCGGGAAUGUCGAGCCGCGAGACAACCUAUUGGCGUCGGACCCACAUCAGCGUCCCCAACUCCCCAUUGGUGGCACAUCCAUCCCCGCCACCACGUGCUGCCCUCCACCUCCUGCCCGUCGAUCCAUCAAUUUGA